AGGGAUGAUGGUGGCCUGGAGACCCUUGAGGGGCAGAAACAGUGGCUUACUCCUGUGCUUCUGUGGUCUGUUUCCUCACUUUGCCCCAUCCAUCAAGUGUUGAGGCUCGGUGGAGUUGAGCUUCCUUUUCCCUCCAUCACUCACAUCCCACUUCCCAUCACCUGCUUCCAAGCAAGAGAACUCCAGGUUACUGGCCUCCGGCAGCAGUCCAGCUGUUACCAGUAAACUGGAAGCUGACGUCACUAACAAGCAUUCAGGGAGCACCAAGAAGCAGACCAGAGGUCUCCUAAGCUUGACUCCUCUUCGGCAUGAGACUAAGGAAGCUCCCCAAGUUCCAGUCAGAGGUCUGAAUUUGUGAAUUUGCUGAGGCUGAUAGGACAGUGUGGGCUGUCCCUGAAAGUUGGAGGAGGUGACAACAAGGUUGGGGGCCUUCCAUAUGGGUGCCUGCUGUACCACAUAUCCAGUAAAAACAGAACAUUUACGAAUGCUGGAAAAAGGUCUCGUUUGUAAUGAGCAGUGGAGUGUGACAGCCUCUGACUGUUUCUUUGACCAUAUAUAGGAAUGAUCACCGUGAUAAUAACAGCAGUGACAACAAUCCCCGGAUAUUGGGCUUUUCAUUUCCAAGAGAGAGAGGUGAGCAGGAGUGAGGAUAAAGACAUGGAGAGAUAAUGCAGACGACCACGUUCUCUUGGCCAUACUGAACUGAUGUCCGAGAGCAGGCCUUGGCAAACUUCCUCUGGGAAGGGCCACAGUAAAUAUUUUAGGCCUUCCAUUCCAUAUGGUCUCACUGCGCUUCAACUCUGCCAUUGUAAGCUUGAAAGCGGCCAUAGAUAAAAGUAAAUGAAUGAGUAUGGCUGAGUUCCAAUAAAACUUUAUUUAUGGACACUGAAAUUUGAAUUUCAUGCUGUUUUUCACAUGUCACAAAAUAGUCUUCUUUCAUUUUCUCCCAACCAUUUAAAUGUGUAAAAACCAUUUUUGUCUCGCAGGCUGGAUGUGGCCUAUGGGCCAUAGUUUGCCUGCCCUGCCCCAGAGAACAGAAUUAACCACCAGUAGCAUCAGAGGCUAACACUGUUCAAGGGUUUUGCCCUCUUUAGAGCUCAAACAGCAGGGAUAAUUUCCACCUUGAGAGACAUCUCUCCAGAGCUCUUCUGCAAAAACUGUUCUUAUUUUACAAACAUGAAAACAUUGAAAAUCAAAAUUAAAUGGAAAAAUUCAUCUCCAACAGCAUCUCUUCCCAAUCAGUCUUCAAAUUUCAUUUCAAUCUUUGUCCAUAUGCAUGACAUUUUUAUACCAUUUUAAUCCUAUUAUAGACACAGUGUUUUAGUUUGCUUUUUUUCACUUAACGUUAUCUUGUAAAAUUCUUCCCUGUUGUGACUGAUUUCUUCUAAUCAGACAUAUCAUAAUUUUUUGUGGAAUUUUUUUGUGGAAGAUUUCCAUGCUAUUUGUUGGACUUAAUUAAAAGGGAUGUCUUAGUGUCUUCUCAAGUGUAACAGUUAAGAUGCAAAUGCUACCACCUUGCCCUCAAGCCAGGAAACCUGGGAAAACCCACUUGGUAGACUGGAGCCUCACACACCUCCCCCAGGAUUCACUUCCUUUUGGACAAUGGCUUUAGCAAAUCUGGCAUUUUAAUUCAUUUGCCUCUUGAUGUGCCUUCCAGACAAACUCUUUAGAGCUCUUUGCUCUGAAAGAGCUCUCUGUUCCACAUACACCCUAGAAUUUAUGUUGAACUUGGAUGGAGGUUUGGGGAGACUAAUCACACAUCUCCUUUCAUUACAGUUUUUAACCAGGAAAUACAGAAAGAGUUAGAUGAGGAUCAGUUUUCUUGCUGGAUUAGAGAACUUGAAUAGGAAGCACAUGCAUUUGGCCAGGAAGAAGACUUCAGCUAUUGAUGGGAGGGCCCUCUUUCUAGAAGGCAGAGAACAAUGGACUAGCCAGACAGGAAGGAGAGAGGCCCAGAGCGCAGUAAGGAGUGGGCAUCUGGGACCCAGGGUUGGGAAGAACACUUCUGUUUGGCUUCCUUCCUCUUCUAGGGCAUGGCUAAGGUGGCCAACCUGCAUGCACCCCAGAAGAGGAAGAUAAGUAGGCCCAUGGGACUUUAUUAUGGAGCCUGAGGCUUUCACUGGCCUGAUUAAUCCAUUUUCUGGGAAUGAGCACUUUGGGAGGAUAACAAUCAAAGGAUCCCCAGAGGACACGUGACAGGCUGGGGCCAUCAGAACUACUGAUCCGUGGGUACUAUCCGGCUUACUGAAUUAUGAAACACAGGUUAAAUUAAGGGUUGUCACACAUUUGGCUAAUUGGCCAAUAAGAACAGCAAUUAAUAGAGGUCAGGCAAUUCAACUGCAUCUGUGGCCAUGACUAUCAGAGCCCUUGGAAACAGCAGUGAUUUCAAGUGAAAUCUAAAUCAGCAGUGUUUCAGGUGACCUAGAGCAGGGCCCACGGCCCAUAGCCCAUAUGUUAGCACUUCCUGAAGGUUUUCUUCCACCCAAAUCCACAUGUUGGGACCCAGGGGAAGGUGUAGCAAAGCCAGUGACCACUGUGUAAUCUUUGUUUUUUCUAUUUGACACUUUGUCAAAAAACACAUUCCUGUUUUCAUAGACUUCUUUUGAUUUUGAGAAAUUUAAAAGAUACAGAAAAGUAUGAAGAAUGUAAAGACACUAUAUUCCCACCACUAGACAUAAGAACUAGUAAUAUUUUGUACCAUCUCCUGCUAGCCUCUGCCCUCCUUCUAAGAAAUGAAACUACCACCCAUUUCUCAUUCCCCAUCCCCGGGCACAGCAAUGUUCAUGGGUUUGGUCGGUUUGUAUGUUUGGUAUCAUUUUAGAUACUUUGAUAUUCAUCUUAUAUCGAUAUAACAAAUAUACUACACUUUUAUGUGUAUAUGAAUAUUUAAAUAUAUAACAGAUAAAAACACAUGCCAUUUGUAAAUAUGCCAUGUAAAAACUGAUGGUGCUUAAUAAAUAUUUGUUGAAUGUCCAUCUAUAAACAAUGUAUUUGUGUGUUUUUAAUGUACAUGGUAUCAUACAAUUUUUAUCAUUCUGCAUAAUCC
rnacentral:lncRNA from 1 species